CCAGUCCCCAGUGUGGGCCCCAGCCUCUGGCACACUGGUGCAUGCCAAAUGUACUCCUCAGACCACCACUACUCUGAUCAGGGCCCUUGCUGCUGUCACUGUUGUCAUCUGUGCUUGCAGUCCUCUGGUGCCUGGAAGUUCUGUUCUCCAGGUAGCAGAUGACUUUGCUCCAAGCAUUCACAUCUUUUUAUUCCAUCUGUACAGGAGUACUUUAUAAUUCUGAAUGUCUUCUAAACAUCAUUUUACUUAAGAUAGCUCAUAUAAAUGGGAUGUAUACUCUUUGUCACUAUGUUUGUGGUAUAUUUCACUGAAUAUGAUGUCUUAAAGUUUUAUGCUUAUUGUAGCAUGGGCAUAAUUUGCUGUUUGAAGGUACAGCCAUAUUCCAUUGCCUACGUAUGCCAUAUUUUAUCCAUUUAUCAAGAAACUUAAGUAGCUAUCACCUUCUUAUGGGGGGAGCGUUGGAAAAUGCUCUUAAAAAUGUGUAUGCAAAUGUCUAUUCCAGGUCCUGCUUUGCAUACAUAGAUUCCCAGAAGUAUACCUGGAUGGUAUAAUUUCUCUUUUCUUUCUCUUCUUUUUCUUUCUUUCUUUUUUUUUUUUUGAGAUUGGGUUUCACUUUGUCACCCAGGCUAGAGUGCAGUGGUGCAAUAAUGGCUCACUGCAGCCUUGACAUCCCAGGCUCAAAUGAUCCUUCCACCUCAGUCACCCAAGUAGCUGGGACUACAGGCACAUGCCAGCAUACCUGGCUAAUUUUUGUAUUUUUUCGAGAGAUAGGGUCUCACUGUGUUGCCCAGGCUGAACUCAAAAUUCUGAGCCUAAGUAAUUCUCCCACUUUAGCCUCCUAAAGUGUUGAAAUUACAGGCAUGAGCCACAGUUCGUUUUUAAUAUUUUGGAAAACCUGCAUCCUACUUUUAUUGAGGGCUGCAUUAUUCUUUUCCACCAGCAGUGCAUAGAGGUUCCAAAUCCUACAUACUUGACAACAUUGAUUACUUUUUAUUUGUUGAAUAGUGGCCAUUGCUAAUGGGUGAGACUUCAAGAUUUUACUUUGCAUUCUUCUCAUAAGUGAUUUUGAUUGUCUUUUCAAAUUCCUCUUGGUCAUUUGCAUAACUACUUUUAGGAAAUGUCUUUGAAGACACUGGUCCAUUUAAAAAAAGUUAUUCACCCUUGGUGGUGGUUAUGUUUCAGAAGUCAAAUGGUGAAUGGCAUUUGUACUCCACUUAGUGUUUCCCUUGAUGUGUGGAUGUGCAGAAGGUUUUGAAAGUUUGAUAUAGUACCUUUUCUAAUUAUCUUAUUGCUUCUGCUUUUAAUGUGAUACUCCAAAAGCCAUCCAAAACCAAUGUUACUAAGCUUCUCCCUAUAUUUUCUUCUAAGUGUUCAAGAGUUAUGUCUUUUUAAGUUUUAUGUUUAGUGUAUGUAAAAUGUUUUGUUUGCAUUGAAGAGAAAGGUCCAAGUUCAUUAUCUUUCUUUCUUUUUUUUUUCAUUCAUUUAGACGUUGAGUUUUCUCACACCAUUGGUUGGCAAGUCUGACCUUUUCUUCACUGUUUGGUCAUAGUAACCUAGUAAAAGAUUAUUUGAUAAUAUUUGCACAGGCUUAUUUCUGGGUUCUUUGUUCUGUCAUGUGUUUGUUUUUUUCUUUAUGCCAUUACCACAUUGGUUUUAUUUUUGUAGCUUUGGGAUCUGUUUUGACAUCAUGAGAUGUGGUAUUUCUUUGUUCUUUUCUAAAGCUGUUGGCUAUUCAUGUACCCUUGAGACUACACAUGAAUUUUAGAAUUAUAUAAAAUAUCUCUGCCAAA
rnacentral:lncRNA from 1 species